AUGUCAUGAAUUUAUUCAUAUAAAAUCUGAUAUAUUUCACAUAAGUUUAGUACAAAAUCUAAUUAAAAUUUGUUCAUUUAUAAAUUAAGCCUCUAUAAUCUUUGUUAUUGUGUUCUUGAUGCUAUCAAAUCAUGGUUACAACUUACAGAACAAUAUCGAAGUUUUUCUUACCACUUUAGGUUUAGGAUCCAUAUGAACCUUAAUCUGUCAUACUGCAUCAGUUAUAUAGAUGAAUUUCAUUUUCAUAUUAGUUAUAUAGUGAUUAGCUGUUGGUAAAGCUGUGCUAUAAAGGGUUGAGCUACAUUUGAAACUUUAUUACUCAUAAUAGUUGUGUUGUAUAGUGAAAAAAUAUUGACGCAUGAAAUGUUUAUUUUUGGAAUGAUACACCGCUUCAUAGAAUUAUGGGACCAAGAUAGAGGAUUCUGGAGGUGGAAAAAGAUGUCAAAGCAAGGACAAAGGGUGAGACAGGAGCUGCAAAGACACUCUGUAUUCCCUUUGAUCAGCCAGAACUCCCCGAAGGUAUAAGCAUUGUUCAAGUGGAGGUGUUAACGUGUUAUUAUUUUAUCCUACUUCCGUCUCUUUAUAACUUAAGUGUCUCAUUUGAGUUGUGCAUGGUUCCUAAGAAAAUGUUUAGUUGAGUUGAUAUCAAUGAUAAAAUGUAUUUCAUUUACUAAAACUUUAGUAAUAUUUGACAAGUAAAAGUUGCAAAUGAGACACUUAGUGCAUGCUUGGGCUAUUCUCUGUGUUCUAUAUACAUAUAACUAUUGGCAGUGGGAUGUUAAGGUUCUUUGCACACAAGAUUUUGUUCAUGUUUAGUUAUUUUUCCUUUUGUGAACCCUUAAAAAGCUUCAAGGACUCAUGCCAUAUAUUUGUGACUUUUCUUCUCUUA